ensembl:lncRNA
ACGCAUGCAGGGCUUUAAGAGCCCACUCCUGUGUGAGACCCAUUGCUUUUUGGGAACUUCAAGCUCAGAUCCAUCUGCUUCCCACCAGACCUUACAAAUCCUAAUGGGAUUAUCUUUGUCAAACAUGACGUAUUGUCAUGCUAUCUUACCAUUGCUCCACACAAUGCUUUCAUCAUUUGUUUGUUUGUUUGUUUGUUUAUGUGUUUUGCUUUGUUUUCUGUGGCUUUGGUUUGCCAGUUCUGAAAUGUGGGAUUUUAAAAAAAAAAUUUAUUUUUUUUUCCCCUGGAGUGUUUAGAAAUGCUUGUCUAAGAAAGUACUACUAAUGCUAUUCUCACUUACUCUACUACGUAGCCAAAUCCAGGCCAGCACUGUGAACUGUUUUCUUUUUACUGUCACACACUGGCAAUGUAGUGUGAGAUAGCUGACACUGAGGAUGUUUCUCCCUUUUGCUUUAGGUUUUUGGUAUUCUUUUUCUCAACAACAACAGUAUCUGGAAGCAAAGCAAGGGAUUUACUUAAGGCACAUUUGAGUUAGGCAGGGUAGUGCAAACACUGUCAUUUCUACUAAUGUUUUCCUCCAGAUUUUAAAACCGUGAAAAACAUUCCAUAUUUUAGAUAGGGAAACAGUGCCAGAAGAAAUUGACUUGUCAUUUGAUAAGUCUUAUGAUUAGUGUAAUAAAUUAAAUGGGUUGGGAUUUUUGCAAAUGAGGAAUCAGCUUUUGAUUGCUCAGUAAUUGACUAGAGUAACCAUCCGCCAAUAGCUGAUGGUUCAUUUCAUUUAAGUGAGUGAAGCUACUUUAUGAGCAAAAUAUGCUGGCCAGUGGUGAGUCUGUGCUACAGACAAGCGUGCACAUCAGUCUAUGGCGAUCUGGUCUCUCAGGGUCUUGCUGGAGUUGAUGAAGUGCACAUUUUUCUCUGUGCAUCUCUGAAUCUGAUCUUCAAGCAGAGAUCUCCAGAUGCACAUUCAGGAAUUGUUACUAUAUGUUGCUUUCAAGAACAUCUGAGUUGUUGACUGCACCCUGCAGACCUGUUGUCACGUUACUGUUAGGUUUUCCAGUUAUUUUACAUCCCUGUUUGGUUUGUCACUUGGAAGGAUGGUAGCAGAUCUGGACUGCAGUGAGCAGUGGGAGAUGUGGUGGUGAAUGUCUCGUGCUUGGUUCAGCCACUGCUCACUUCUUCUGUAGAGAAAGAACUUUCCUCCAUGCUCUUCCCAAGGGGAGGACAGACGGCUUUGCUGCUGAAUGGACAGAUCUUUGGCUUAAAGCAUCCCACCGUCUGGUAGAUACAGCUGCUUUGUCUACAGUUAGAAGUUAAGCAUGGCUUGGCUUGAACUGCCUCCUCUGGAACACCAGCAACAGUGGCUUCCCACAGCUUGGGUCCAGCCAACAAUUACUGUCUCAUCCUAUCCCUGGACAAGAUCUGAGAAAGAUAUCUGAAAAAGACAUAUUCAACAGUGACCCCCUUCCAUGUUUCUGGAGGGUCAAAACUUUGACGGAGUGGGAGCUCCUUUGAUUUUUGGCCCUUUAAUUUUCUCUAUGCUUUUUCCAUCCCUUUCUGUGUUUGUCACUUCGUUUCUCUUCCUCUGGCACAGCUGUCUGCGACUCCAUGCAUGUGAGCAGGGCUGAGAUUCUCCAAGGGACACAAAUGGCAGCUAUCUCAGGGGGCAAAACGAAGAGCUAAUAGAUAUAUUCUGUGUCUCUGUUAGGGAAGAAAAAAGCUGUCAGGAGACAAUAGCAAGCAAGUGAAUGAUGCAACACCUCAGCAGACCCUCAGCCAAAGCAGAGAUAGGAACUGCACACACAUAGAAGCUAGUGACACGUCUACUUAAUUUCUCUGCUUUGCAAAGAUCUUACUGCAGUUUUGCUGUGGGGCCAGUGACUGCUCAUUGCUGGCUGUCUCCAAAUGUCUUGUUGGCUGUUGCACGUGCACAGACUGCAUUGGGCAGUCUUUUCAGUGAUUUGAGACUAGUAUAAAAAUAGACUGAGCCUGGAAGUCUGGAUUAUCAUCAUUGCUAUGGACCCUUCCAAGCUGUCAUUUUAUAUGCCCUGAAUAUUUUCCUUAUUUUCAUGGUUGUGCUCAAAAGCUGGCUCAAAUUCUCAGUGCAACUGUAGUGAACCUUGGUCUCUUAUUCAUUCUAAUACACACUUCACUAAAAGCCUUCACCAUCUCAG